GUCAUAGCAAAUGCUUAGGAGGUAAUCCGUCUGGUCCUUUCUGCAUCUUAGUGGUAGAAAAUGAUCAAAAUGGGGCAUUGCACAGAUCAUUUUUUAACCUGCACAGAUUACAAAACUACACAAAUUUGCCUCAGAGAAGAGACUUGAACUUAGGACCUCAAAGCUGCUGUGGUGUUUAAAUCCAUUCAACUUUAUUUUUGAGAAAUUAGAUCUUUUGUGCAAUAACAGGUAAAGUUUUCCAUCAAAGUUUACACAACAUGUAGAAUAAAGCCUCACUUUCAUUGCCCAUACUGGGCAACAGCUGCCCAUCGCUCCUUUCUAGCAGGAGAAAUGGAGGACUUAUAUCACAAGACUUUGGGGUAACUAAGCAUCUGUGGUUUCUUAGACCACUGGGGAAAAUCAGUGCUGGCAUCACUUCUCUAGUUACUGCCUUAAACCUACAUCAGGCACAUUCCACAGACUGGCUUCAGGGCUGCCACAAGGUCAAUCCCAGGCCCCAGCCACCCUGUCCCGGUGUUCCUCUGCUGCUGUGUGAGGGAGCCAGCUCUUGGUUGGAUGUGACAGGGAAGGACAUCUGGUGUAUAAGAGAGUAAUUUAGAAACAGUGCUUCAGUCUGAAUGAUUUAAUCAUGAAAGUGGGUGUAAUUGGAAAUCAUCUGCCCAUGACCAAUGUGACACUAUUAGGGCAGAAUGCAAUGACUUCUGAGCGCUUUGGAUAAAUACUCCCUGACAUUUCAAGAGCCAAAGUGGAGUGAACUGGCCUGGCUGCCUCUGACGAGUGGUUCAGAAGUCAUUUUCUUGAACAGGCCAGAUUGACCACACAGCAGCAGGUGUGUGAUGGUUGCAGCUGUAAGCUUAGGCUUGUGCCUUUCACUCAAUUGCUGGGAGCUGAGUACUACUGCUGCAGAAGAAUGCUGCCAUAUAAAAGACAUGCACAGAAAGAGUAGGAAAGGGCAGAUACAUCGCAGAAACUAUUGAAAGGCAAAGGGAAAUUGGAGCUUGGGCUGACAUUUUCAGAGCUAAAUGAAAAGUGUUAAGAGGUGAGUUAUAUUUGCCUAAUCGCUAUAGGAAAAGGUAGCUUGUAUAUACUCUAGAUUUUAACUAGUCUUUUUCUACUGCCUUGUAAUCACCUCUAAACUGACUCAAAGCCUAUUGAGUAGUUGUGAGACCUUACAGUACCCCAGCCUGGCCCCACAAGGACCUGUGGCAGAAAGGUAGGUGGGGCUGCAGAGAAGUUGUUCAAGGAUAAAAUCAAAGGAAAGGUUACCAGGAAUGAGGUCUUUUGUUUGAAUGCAAUUGAUUAUUGGUGAGGAUUGGUACAGUGACAGCUCAUCGCCUUUCAUCCCCUUGCCUAGGUUUUCGAGUUCUUAGUUGCUGCUUUGAUAAAAUGCAUAGACUGAUAAAAGGCUUGUGUUGAACUAAUGCUCUGGGAUAAGAUAAAAAGGAUAUUUUUGCUGAAAGCUGGGAAGGAUUGCUUCACAACAGAUAUUUCAGUCAUUGCUAGAUACAAGGUCUUCAUCUUUAUUAUGAGAGGCACAUAAGAUGCAUCUACUUUUAUACAGAUAGUUCUGAAUAUCUAUCUGAGAAUAUUUGAUCUAGAGAAGCAAACUGGAGCAGGCUGGUGGUGAUUCAGGUUAUUUCCGUGCCAUAGCUCCCACUUGAUGACCCCCAGCCUCUAGUUCAGCAGCUGCUGCAUUGCAGCCCCCAGGCACCCACCAAGACCUCAGGAGCUCCCACUCCCUUCUUCGCUCACUGCGCAUGUGAUGUGAGCAGAGGCAAUGUAUUUUUCACCGAGGUUUGCAGGCUCCAAAGGUCCCAGUGCAGAGCUGUUCUGCUGCCUUUGAGUGCCCAAAGUUCAUAAAAAGAAAAAAAAAAAAUCAAACUUUUCCUCCUUCCCCCCAGUGUGCUUGAUGAGAUCUUAUCUUCAGGCAGAUCGAUAACGAAAAUGCUGCUGCUUUCAGUGGACUCAUAGUUUUACCCAGGAACAUUACCCAAAUUAAUUCAAGAACUAUCCUGAUAACUCCCGAAGCAUUGCCAUUCAUUGAUCUGAGUUGCAGAAAAUGUUGCAAAAUCCCAUCCUUUGGGAGGUUUAAUGAACACAAUCCACCUACUCCAGUUGUGGGCUCUGAAGACCCCAAAGGAUUUUUCCCUUCUUAUUCUGAUAGCUCCUAGCAACAGUACUUCUGCUUUCUGUCAGUAAAGCAUCUGCUCUUUGAACCUACAAGUUUCCACUAUUUAUAGUUCCUAAAAUCUUUGCUAAUUGUACAUUCCGUAAGAAACGCCAUCAUAUGAAGCCUGAUUUGCUGAGUACAAUGUUCCCCUUCCUUUGCCAUAUUGGAUUACAAGCAAUUACACCUUUAAUCUAAUGUAAUAUGAAACUAAGGUCACACAAUUAUUUACGCAGUGAGCAAUUGCAUGGCAUGAAAUAUGUAUCUGCUGUAUGGGAGUCCAAAGUUUGGAUCAGUCUGUGGCUUCCCAAAACAAGAGUAAGAGAAAGGUAAUGUAGUGUCAUGAAUAUCACUAAGUAGGAGAAAAAAAUAAUUGGAUGAUCAUUCUUGCUCAGAGCAAAUAUCCUCAGUGAACCUUUCAGCAGUCACUAAGCGUUAUUCUCUCCCCCCCUCCACCCCAUUUCCUUACUACCACCAAACUUUGUUCAGUGCAAGGAAGAGGCAGCUGUAUGGGACCAGGUGGCAGCAGCAGGCCUUGGAGCUGACCCAGGGUCCAUGAUGGAUGGGAAUAGCUCACAGCAGCCGAACCAUGAGCGGCGGAACGCUUUGCUGAACGGGAGUUUUCAUCAUACUGCCACGCUGCUUGACCUCCAAAUGCGCCGACACGCUGCAGUAUCACUUAGACUGGGAAAGAAUGUUGCUGCGCUAUUGCCCAGGAGAUUCAGGAGGAUCCCAUUACAGCUAGGCGGUGCCUGUGUGCAAUGGCAAAAACCAAGCCAUGCCCUGACCACUUUGCCCUACUUCCUGAGGACAAGCCAGCCCCACACUAGAUGUCUGCCUCCCUGGAUUCCCGUCACUUGAGCGUGCCUUGAUGUUGUGGGAAGGGCUGUGGUCAGAAGCAUGAAGAUGAGGAGCAUCCAGCAUGCAGGUAGCAGCAGCACUGCUCUCAGGGCUGCUGAAGCCUCUCUAGUGAUGCCUUCCCCCUGUUUAUUUCUGGCCAGAGAUAUACUCUUUCAUACAUGUUUUGUAUAUCCCUUAGCAUCAUUUUGUGCUUGCUUUUCAAUGCUAAAAGUCAAAAUAUACAGUGAAAAUCCAGGGCACACGCUUCCAGAGAGGCUAUGGAUGCAAUCAGAGAAUCACAGAAUAAUAAAACAUCUCAAGUUGGAAGAGAGGAGGACCAUUGAGUCCAACCGCUGGCUCCACACAGCACCACCCAGAAUCCAAACCCUGUCUCUGAGAGCAGUGUCCAAACGCACCUUGAACUCCCAACAGCUUGGGGCUAUGCCCACCGCCCUCUGGUGCAGACCCUGUCCCUAACCCCCACUGCCCCUCCCCUGACACAGCUCCAUGCCAUUCCUUCGGGCCCUGUCGCUGUCACAGAUUGCAGAGCUCAGCGCUGCCCCUCCACUCCCUGUGAGGAGCUGCAGCCACCAUGAGGCCUCUGUUAAUCUCUUUGCUCUGGGCUGAACCAACUCAGGGACCUCAGCCACUCCUCAUGCACCUUACCUUCCAGACCAUUCCCCGUCUUCAGAGCCCUCCUUUGGAUGCUCUGUGACAGUUUUAUGUCCUUCUUACGUGGUUGCACCUAAACCUGCACCCUGUGCUUGAUGUGAGACUGCACUAGCAGCCUUGCCGAGAGAUGAGUGAAGGAACAAAUCUCUGCCUCUCACCAGCCCCAGUGUUUUGAUAUAGUCCCUAAGCACAGAUGUCUGCCAGUGGCAUAGAGUGCCCGGCAUUGUUUCAGCCAUCCACACUCACUAAGCUGUCAGCUCCCUGUGCCACUGGGUCAUCUGGGCAUACGGGUCUUAUUCAAAUCCCCAUUCUGUCAAAUGAAGUCAGAGUGCAAGCAAUGUUUAUACUGGGGUUUGGCUCUCUAUCAGCAGUGCUUGCUCCAGAACAGGCUUGCCAGCUACCCCUCCCAGGCUUUUGGAUACAGUUGGGUUGGCAGAUCCUGUGCACUGCUUCACUGUGUUGCAAAAACCAUGAGAAUGAGAGGUUUUUGGCCCCAGACUGGUGGUCCUAUGGCUGGGUUCACGGCAUCUGCAGGGACGGGUGGCUGUGAUACAGGAUGAGGGAACAAAAGCCGAGGAAAAGAAGGAAAUCCUCCAGUCUCCAGUACAGAUGCUGAGGAAUGUGUGCCAUAAACCAAACCCAGAUGUCUUGACUGAUGAGCAAGCGCUAUCUUUAAUCUCUUAUCUUUCCAGCUUUGAGUUUCAUCAUCAUGCUAAGCGCCCCUAUCCUUACACUAGUCUAAUGAUUACUUUCUCCAAAGGGUUGAGGCGUGAUUCAGAAGCAGAAUGGUGACUCCUCACAUCAGAUUGAGUUACCGUCUGUCUCACACACGCUUUAGCUACAAGCUGCUAAAUAGCUUCCACGUCUGAAAAACACAGCUGGCACCCAGCUUCAAAAACACCGCUGCAGCCACCAGCAAGUAGGGGCACCCCCAAAGUCUCAGCCAGGAAGGUGGCUGCUCCAUGACACCCCCCUGCCACUGCCUCCUCUGAGAUCCUGGGAGCCAGGAACCUGCCCUGCUGGCAAAAAGUGACUGAAGAGGCUGAGACAUGCAUGCAUCCCCCUUCUCUGAAUGAACAGCAGUUCAGCUGAAGAAAUAUUUUUAAAAGCUGUUCCUUCCAUUUCUUAUUCUCAGCCAGGAAUACCAACAGAUGUGGCAGCAGGGGAGCUCCAAGGUGAAGAUGGAGACAUCCUAGCUGGGGCCCCCAGGCUGCCUCACUCACUUCCCCCUGGGAUGUUGCCUGGAGGCCCCAAGGCACAACCCCUUCUGCUCUCCCUGCAGGUUCUGUAGUGCCUGCUCUCCCUGCAGGUUCUGUAGUGCCACCUGUAUCACCUGGUGGGGAUCCUUCCCCACCAUCUGUCUGCCAGGAGGAGGGAGAUGUCACAUGGGAGCUUCAUGUUUUGCUCUCAGUAGAGAAUUAGCCAUGCUUAUUUGACUGAUAAAUAAUGAGACUUCAUUCAUUAAUGUCAUAGGCAGCUCCGAGGAAAACAGCUGAUGCUGCUGGGACGGAUGCUGCUCCCCUGAGUCAGGCCACCUUUGGCCUUGGGCAAUGUUGAGGGUAAUGCUGUGCUUGGUUUCAAAGGCAGCAUGCAGUAACAGGAGCAGCACUGUACAGUGGCCUUGGCUAAUGUGUCUCACACUGGGCAUGAAUUACAUCCAACCCUGAGAUCAGACUCCUCCUCGCCAAGAGAUCAUACUGCCAGUAAUGCUCUUAAGAGAGGAGUGAUUGCAGACUC
ensembl:lncRNA